rnacentral:rRNA from 1 species
UACGUAGGGUGCGAGCGUUGUCCGGAAUUAUUGGGCGUAAAGAGCUCGUAGGCGGCUUGUCACGUCGGAUGUGAAAGCCCGGGGCUUAACUCCGGGUCUGCAUUCGAUACGGGCAGGCUAGAGUUCGGUAGGGGAGAUCGGAAUUCCUGGUGUAGCGGUGAAAUGCGCAGAUAUCAGGAGGAACACCGGUGGCGAAGGCGGGUCUCUGGGCCGAUACUGACGCUGAGGAGCGAAAGCGUGGGGAGCGAACAGG